UGUGUAGGUGGUGUAUUAAGUCUGCUGUUAAAUCUCUUGGCUUAACCGAGAAAUCGCAAUGGAAACUAGUAUGCUAGAGGGUGAGAGAGAGGAGUGGAAUUCUCGGAGUAGCGGUAAAAUGCGUAGAUAUCGAGAGGAACACCGAUGGCGAAGGCAGCUCCUUGGCUCACUUCUGACACUGAAACACGAAAGCGUGGGGAGCAAACA
rnacentral:rRNA from 1 species